GAAGAGACGGUCUUCUAAGCUUCCGUUAGCCAUGUACUCAUAAACUAGGCAGCCAAAUUCAGGACAGGCUCCAAGAAGUAGAACCAUGUUGGGAUGUCGUAUGCAACUUAGUACUUCAACCUGCAUAAUCAUUCAAAUAUCUCGCUAAUGUCAAUAGACUUGUUAGACGAUGCAAAACUUCUCAGGUCAAAGUCAGAGCCAGUUGAAUAACGGGGAGGCGUCCCUGAAUCUAUACUAUCGUAGAAAGAGGGAAACAUGCGGUCCACACUUGGCCUUCCACUACUCACAAACGAUAUGUCACUAUCUGGAGUAAAUUGUGUUCUCUCUGUACCAAGUGAAACCUAGUGAGUCAGGGGAAAAACCAGAAGGCAGUGGAAGUAGCAUUUACAGAAACAUAGAAAUGGUACCUCUGAACUGAUUGUUGCGCAUUGAAGGGGUGC